UCAUUCAUGCCUGCUCCCUGCCUGGCACAGCUCUGACUGCAUGGGCACUGAAGCCAAGAAUCAGACUGAGUGGCACUUUGCGCAGCAGCAGAAUCAUGGGGGAGCUCUAUUCUGGUGUGUGUAUACACAAGAUGGACUUGUGUAUAGUGGAGGUUUGGGAUCAAGAAGGAGAAAAGGGGCGAAAAGCCCCCGCACUGAGUGCUAGGCAGAGGUGCAUGGGUCAUCCUCCAGCUGCCUCUUGAUGUCAUGGGGCUAGAAUGCAGCUCGGGGGUCCACCAGGGAGAACUUCCCGUGCAGCUGGUUUCUCCUCCGCAGGAUCACCUGCAGGAUGGCGUGGGAGCGAGACGAGUUGGCGUUG